rnacentral:rRNA from 1 species
CCUACGGGAGGCAGCAGUGGGGAAUUUUGGACAAUGGGGGAAACCCUGAUCCAGCCAUGCCGCGUGCGGGAAGAAGGCCUUCGGGUUGUAAACCGCUUUUGGUCGGAAAGAAAAGGCGCACCCUAAUACGGGGCGCUCUUGACGGUACCGGCAGAAUAAGCACCGGCUAACUACGUGCCAGCAGCCGCGGUAAU